rnacentral:rRNA from 1 species
GUUUUAAGGAAGCGGUUAGUGUUGUAUGGUUGUUGGCUUAUAGGGGUGAAAUUUAGAUUUGUUGAGCACUUAUAUAACAUUGAUCGUGCUUUAUAGGCUAUGAAGAUUUAGGUGUAAACUGGGAUUAGAUACCCCAUUAUACUAAAUGGAAAAUAAUAGUGGCGCUUGAGUAGUAAUCAGUUAUGGUCUUGAAAUUUAAAGGAUUUGGCGGUAUUCAAGUCUAGUUAGAGGAACCUGUUUCUUAAACGAUAUGCCACGCAAGAUCUUACUUCCUUUUGUCACUCAGUUUGUAUACCGCCAUUAUUAAGUAAUGUCUUAAGACAUUUACUUAAAUUUAAUUGAUUUGAAGUAUAUUAGGUCAAGGUGCAGCUUAUGGGGAAGUGCUAUAAUGGGUUACAUUGAAAUUUAUUACCGGAUGUAUUCAUUAAAUUGAAUGUUAAAGGUGGAUUUAAUUGUAUGCCCCUUUUAAUACGGGGGGUUGAUAAAAGCGCUAGAAUAUGUACACAUUGCCCGUCGCUCUCAUUA